rnacentral:rRNA from 1 species
UACGUAGGGGGCAAGCGUUGUCCGGAUUUAUUGGGCGUAAAGAGCGUGUAGGCGGCCAAGCAGGUCAGCUGUGAAAACUCGAGGCUCAACCUCGAGACGUCGGUUGAAACCGCUUGGCUAGAGUCCGGAAGAGGAGGAGUGGAAUUCCCGGUGUAGCGGUGAAAUGCGCAGAUAUCAGGAGGAACACCGGUGGCGAAGGCGGGUCUCUGGGCAGUUACUGACGCUGAGGAGCGAAAGCAUGGGGAGCGAACAGG